rnacentral:lncRNA from 1 species
UUAUUAUAAUCAAAAUCUCCGACGUGAACUGGCCGGCAGUGGAGUUGAUAAGUGCUCUGAAAAGGCAUGCAACUCAAUUCAUUAUUGCUUGUAUAUAACAGAGUAGUUCCCAAUGUUAGUUAAAUCAAAUUAAGGGCUAAUUACUUGAUUUUAUAUUAACUUAAUAUAUAUUUUUCAGGGAAAAGUUGCGCUGGUUUCGACAUAUGCACAUACAUCAACUUCAUAUAUUUAUAUUUGUCUUGGCUAUCGGCCAUGUUUUUUACUGCAUCAUCACCAUGAUUUUAGGAAGAUUAAAGGUACACAACUACACAAGACAGCCAUUGGAUUUUAAUUUAUAAGCAAAUCCUAUUAUGAGAUUAAAAAAAAAAUCGAAUUUUAAUUUCAUGUAGAUGAAGAAAUGGAAAGCUUGGGAGAUAGAGACACGAUCUGCAGAGUAUCAAUUUUCACACGGUAAUUAGUAAUUAGUUAUAUAUAGGUUAGAUCAUCAGUAAUUGAUUUUAAAAUUGCAGAUCCUGAAAGAUUUAGAUUUGCAAGGGAAACAUCAUUUGGGCGUCGACAUUUGAAUUUCUGGAGCAAAUCGCCAAUUCUUAUUUGGAUUGUAAGACACUAAAAAUAAUCGAUUAACUUUAAUUUGUGAGCUUUCAAAAAAAAAACCUUAAUUUGUGAGAUUUUUCAAACAAUUUUGAACUGUACUGCAAGUACAGGUAUGUUUUUUCAGACAGUUUGUGACAUCUGUUUCCAAAGUGGAUUACAUGACACUCAGACAUGGCUUCAUCAUGGUAAGAACUAAGAACUAAGAAAAUUUGUUCCCCUUGUUUAAUCUAGAUAACCCCUUUAAAUAAAAUGAUCAUCACUCAUCAGGCACAUUUGGCCCCAACAAGCUCUAUGAAUUUCAAUUUCCUCAAAUACAUCAAAAAAUCACUUGAAGAUGAUUUCCAAAUGGUAGUUGGAAUCAGGUAUAUUGUUAUUACAAAUGUUAUUACACAUCAAUUACACAGUAUACAUGGUCUGACCAAAUUGAUUUAAUAUUGCAGUCCACUCACAUGGUUAUUUGCUGUGCUCUUCUUGUUAUUCAAUACUCAGGGUAUGUAAAAAAUCCACAGAUCAAUACCUUCUAAUGAGAAUCAGAUCGUUGUAUAUUAGCCGUUCAUUGACUGUAAAUGUGUGGAUGAGAUCGCCCACACUAAUUUUCUUCUUCUCUGUGAAAAUUGAACAGGGUGGUAUUCAUAUUUGUGGCUUCCAUUCAUCCCAUUGGUGGUAGGUUUUCCUGGAAUUAUAACAAUAAUAAUUGAGAAAUGCAAAAUUAAAAAGAAUAGCAAUAUGUUUCAUACAAAAAUUGGCAGAUACUUCUGCUGGUGGGAACAAAGCUCCAAGUUAUCAUCACAAAAAUGGCAUUAGAGAUCAUGGAGUACGAUGACGUCGUUAAAGGUGUUCCGGUGGUUCAACCAGCUGAUAGACAUUUCUGGUUUCAUAACCCUAAACUUCUCCUCAAUCUCAUCAACUUUGUUCUUUUUGAGGUAAGCAAAUUCAUUCUCUGUUAGCUUCAAUAAAAUUCAUUCUCUGUCAAUUAUUCUUAACACAAAAUUUUGAGAACUAAAUUAAAUAUAUGUGUGUGUAAAUUUGCAGAAUGCAUUUCAACUUGCUUUCUUCAUAUUUAGUUGGGUAAGUGGGUAAUUAAUUGAUUAGUUAAAUAAAUAAAUUCAUUAAUGCAGAAUUCUAUAUAUAAAUAUGAUUAAUAACUAUCUCUAAUCUUCAUUAAUUUUAUACUAACUACUUACAGUAUAAAUUCGGACUCCAGUCUUGCUUCCAUGAAGAAACAGAGGAUAUCGUGAUCAGGAUAUCCAUGGGGUAAGUUUACCGACUGCCAUUUUUUUUUGUAUCAUUAAAUGAUUCAUCAUUAACAAAUCGAUUCCUG